rnacentral:rRNA from 1 species
UACGUAGGUGGCGAGCGUUGUCCGGAAUUACUGGGCGUAAAGCGUGCGUAGUCGGUAUUGAGAGUCGCGGGUGAAAUCCCAGGGCUUAACCCUGGAACUGCCUGCGAGACCUCAGUACUAGAGUGUGAGAGGGGAUAGUGGAAUACCAAGUGUAGCGGUGAAAUGCGUAGAGAUUUGGUGGAACACCGGUGGCGAAGGCGGCUAUCUGGCUCACAACUGACGAUCAGGCACGAAAGCGUGGGGAGCAAACAGG